UUACACAUGCAAGUCGAACGGCAGCACGGGAGCAAUCCUGGUGGCGAGUGGCGAACGGGUGAGUAAUAUAUCGGAACGUGCCCAGUCGUGGGGGAUAACGUAGCGAAAGCUACGCUAAUACCGCAUACGAUCUAUGGAUGAAAGCGGGGGAUCGCAAGACCUCGCGCGAUUGGAGCGGCCGAUAUCAGAUUAGGUAGUUGGUGAGGUAAAGGCUCACCAAGCCGACGAUCUGUAGCUGGUCUGAGAGGACGACCAGCCACACUGGGACUGAGACACGGCCCAGACUCCUACGGGAGGCAGCAGUGGGGAAUUUUGGACAAUGGGCGCAAGCCUGAUCCAGCAAUGCCGCGUGCAGGAUGAAGGCCUUCGGGUUGUAAACUGCUUUUGUACGGAACGAAACGGUGAGCUCUAAUACAGUUUGCUAAUGACGGUACCGUAAGAAUAAGCACCGGCUAACUACGUG
rnacentral:rRNA from 1 species